rnacentral:rRNA from 1 species
CCUACGGGAGGCAGCAGUGGGGAAUAUUGGACAAUGGGCGAAAGCCUGAUCCAGCCAUGCCGCGUGUGUGAAGAAGGCCUUCGGGUUGUAAAGCACUUUCAGUGGGGAAGAAAGCCUUGGGGCUAAUACCCUCGAGGAAGGACAUCACCCACAGAAGAAGCACUGGCUAACUCCGUGCCAGCAGCCGCGGUAAUACGGAGGGUGCGAGCGUUAAUCGGAAUUACUGGGCGUAAAGCGCGCGUAGGCGGUCUGAUAAGCCGGUUGUGAAAGCCCCGGGCUCAACCUGGGAACGGCAUCCGGAACUGUCAGGCUAGAGUGCAGGAGAGGAAGGUAGAAUUCCCGGUGUAGCGGUGAAAUGCGUAGAGAUCGGGAGGAAUACCAGUGGCGAAGGCGGCCUUCUGGACUGACACUGACGCUGAGGUGCGAAAGCGUGGGUAGCAAACAGGAUUAGAUACCCCUGUAGUC